rnacentral:rRNA from 1 species
CCUACGGGAGGCAGCAGUGGGGAAUUUUGGACAAUGGGCGCAAGCCUGAUCCAGCAAUGCCGCGUGCAGGAUGAAGGCCUUCGGGUUGUAAACUGCUUUUGUACGGAACGAAAAGGCUCUGGCUAAUACCUGGGGCUGAUGACGGUACCGUAAGAAUAAGCACCGGCUAACUACGUGCCAGCAGCCGCGGUAAUACGUAGGGUGCGAGCGUUAAUCGGAAUUACUGGGCGUAAAGCGUGCGCAGGCGGUUUUGCAAGACAGGUGUAAAAUCCCCGGGCUAAACCUGGAAACUGCACUUGUGACUGCAAGGCUGGAGUACGGCAGAGGGGGAUGAAAUUCCGCGUGUAGCGGUAAAAUGCGUAGAUAUCCGGAGGAACACCGAGGGCGAAGGCAGCCCCCUGGGCCUGUACUGACGCUCAUGCACGAAAGCGUGGGGAGCAAACAGGAUUAGAUCCCCUUGUAGU